rnacentral:rRNA from 1 species
UACGGAGGGUGCGAGCGUUGUCCGGAAUCAUUGGGCGUAAAGCGCACGUAGGCGGUCCGGUAAGUCGGAUGUGAAAUCCCUCGGCUCAACCGAGGAAGGGCAUCCGAAACUGCCGGGCUUGAGUACGGAAGAGGGUCUCGGAAUUCCCGGUGUAGAGGUGAAAUUCGUAGAUAUCGGGAGGAACACCAGUGGCGAAGGCGGAGACCUGGGCCGAUACUGACGCUGAGGUGCGAAAGCGUGGGGAGCAAACAGG